rnacentral:rRNA from 1 species
UGAGUAACACGUAUCCAACCUGCCGUCUACUCUUGGACAGCCUUCUGAAAGGAAGAUUAAUACAAGAUGGCAUCAUGAGUUCACAUGUUCACAUGAUUAAAGGUAUUCCGGUAGACGAUGGGGAUGCGUUCCAUUAGAUAGUAGGCGGGGUAACGGCCCACCUAGUCUUCGAUGGAUAGGGGUUCUGAGAGGAAGGUCCCCCACAUUGGAACUGAGACACGGUACCAA